AGUGAACGCUGGCGGUAGGCCUAACACAUGCAAGUCGAACGGCAGCACAGUAAGAGCUUGCUCUUACGGGUGGCGAGUGGCGGACGGGUGAGGAAUACAUCGGAAUCUACUUUUUCGUGGGGGAUAACGUAGGGAAACUUACGCUAAUACCGCAUACGACCUACGGGUGAAAGCAGGGGAUCUUCGGACCUUGCGCGAGUGAAUGAGCCGAUGUCGGAUUAGCUAGUUGGCGGGGUAAAGGCCCACCAAGGCGACGAUCCGUAGCUGGUCUGAGAGGAUGAUCAGCCACACUGGGACUGAGACACGGUCCAGACUCCUACGGGAGGCAGCAGUGGGGAAUAUUGGACAAUGGGCGCAAGCCUGAUCCAGCCAUACCGCGUGGGUGAAGAAGGCCUUCGGGUUGUAAAGCCCUUUUGUUGGGAAAGAAAAGCAGCAGGUUAAUACCCCGCUGUUCUGACGGUACCCAAAGAAUAAGCACCGGCUAACUUCGUG
rnacentral:rRNA from 1 species